UACGUAGGGUGCGAGCGUUAAUCGGAAUUACUGGGCGUAAAGCGUGCGCAGGCGGUUUUGUAAGUCUGACGUGAAAUCCCCGGGCUCAACCUGGGAAUUGCGUUGGAGACUGCAAGGCUGGAAUCUGGCAGAGGGGGGUAGAAUUCCACGUGUAGCAGUGAAAUGCGUAGAGAUGUGGAGGAACACCGAUGGCGAAGGCAGCCCCCUGGGUCAAGAUUGACGCUCAUGCACGAAAGCGUGGGGAGCAAACAGG
rnacentral:rRNA from 1 species